rnacentral:misc_RNA from 1 species
GUAAAUUUCUAUUUGGUCUCAACACUUAUGUGCCUCUCUGAUGUUGAUCACCUUCUGUUUACUAUUCUGGAUAGAUUGCUAUCCUAUUAUUUUUUCAGUUGAAUGUUGUAAGCCAGCGAUGUGGUUUCUUACCAUUAUUUGUGCACUUGCGGUAAACUCCAAGGAAACUGUGCCAGAGUUGUUAUUUGAUAGCUCUAUGCUGGAGGCAAUUUAAUCUGAUGGUUGAUUUUUUAAGCCUUCAUCAGAUCCUACAUUUUGUAUUUUAAUGGUGCGGACUCGAAGUUUCCGAAAAUGUGACUAAGUUUUGAGAAGAGGUUUUCCUUCUAAAUUCUUGUUUGAUUUGCUUUCAAUGAGAUUGACUUUUAGCUAGAAAAUGAUAUUAAAGGUAGUAAAGUUUGAUGAGCACCUUUUCUCCUCAUGUCUUGGACUUUGUUCUCUUUGUCCUGACAAAUUUCAGACACCUGACGGUUUUGCUUCUAGUAAAAUGUAGAUUACAGAGAGCUGAUCACCUGAUCCCUCACAUCCCUGCCAAUGCGUGUGUGCCAUGUGCAGCAGCACCUUGCUUGAAAAAGGAGGUAAUAUAAUUAUUUUAGUUUUCUGUUGUUUUUCUUUUUUAAUGCCAUUAUGUAAAAACAAUUGUCAAGUUGAACAGAUUUUAGAGAGCUAAUUCAUCAGCA